UACGUAGGGUGCGAGCGUUAAUCGGAAUUACUGGGCGUAAAGCGUGCGCAGGCGGUAAGUUAAGUCUGAUGUGAAAGCCCCGGGCUCAACCUGGGAAUGGCAUUGGAAACUGGCUCGCUGGAGUGUGGCAGAGGGGGGUGGAAUUCCGCGUGUAGCAGUGAGAUGCGUAGAGAUGCGGAGGAACACCGAUGGCGAAGGCAGCCCCCUGGGCUAACACUGACGCUCAGGCACGGAAGCGUGGGGAGCGAACAGG
rnacentral:rRNA from 1 species